GUCCCGUUACCCCAGCCUCUCCCAUGGUUCUUGGAAUUCCAAAUCCAAAGGCCCCUCCUUCGCUUUUCCACUUUCCUGGCUGAUACUCCUGCUUGCCCUAACAGAGGACUCAUUCUCCAAAUCCCUUUCUCCCUCUGAGUUUUCAGUGAAACAAAGUUAAGGUUAUGGAAGAUGAAGGGUAGCCCUCAGGUCACGGCACCUGCCGGGCCCCGAAGAGAUAGUGGUCUGGCUCCCAGGCUGGUCGCUGAGGCCCCUGUGUUUCGGCAUCAUAGUCUCCCUGCUCCAGACGUGAGGACCAGAGCUCUAUUGCCGUGGGUGCUGAGCCCAGUGUCUGCUGGGAAAUUCAGCAUCUAGGUGGUUAUCCUGUUUCAUCAAGAACACAGUGUGAGAAAGAGAAUGAAUUAUUCACAAAGUUUGAAAGAAAACUGCUCAGUUCUACAAGCUACUUGACUGCAGGCUGGAGCCUUUGCAGAAGGGCAGCCAGAAGCCACUCACCGACCGUGCUGCAUGGGAGUCUCCAACCAAGGCAGAAAAGAAAGUCUGUUUGCUCAGACAGAAGAUUAUGUAACACAGCACAAUCAUGGAAGUGACGACCCAGGACCUUUUCCAUAUUUUACUGGUUAAAAGCAAGUCCCAGUUUUGUCCACAGGCAGGGGGGUGAACAGCCUUACACAAAAGUAUGGAUGUCCUUGCAUGCACACAAGGGUAUUAAUCCAGGAGGUGGGUAUGUGAACUUGAAGUUCACCUUCAAGUCUGUUGGCCACGAGUACUAAUAGUAAUUUGAGAUUAAAAUGAUGUAAAUGUAUGGAAACGUUGCUUGCUAACUCUUAGAUAACAUAUUUGUGUGUCAGUAAAUAUUUGGUCACUUGAACAAUUUUUAACCGUUCAGCCCAAUAAGGCAUUUGAUCUUUGUUAUGACUAUAAAUACAGAGAAGAGAAGCAGAAAAUUUGGAAGGCUCAGAAUAUAGGCUUUCUUUGAAAAAUGCACUGCAGAAAAGUCAGCAUCUUGAACUUACUGGGGGGAUUUCCACCUGACUUUAACGAAAAGAACUGGGUGGAAAAAUCCCAUACACCAAUAAACCCGGAGGCUGAGGAGGGGCUUCAAAGCCCUCAGGGCUCUGCAGGUGACACAAGUGGCUUCUAACUUCCCUCUGCACCGAGAGCACGCUUUGGCUUCAGUGUUAGGGGAUGGGAAGAAUAUUUUAUGGGAACACUUUUGUCAUCUUUUUAUGACAGUAAUCCCACUUUCUAGGCUGUCCAGGAAAUCUGACCUUUGUUUAUAACAUUGUCUAUAAUCAAAAAUCAUUCCAUAUAGUCACAUCUUUAAUGUGUGUUUUAUUGGACGCAAUCCCUUUUAAAGUUGGGCAUUGUUUUCAUUUCCUGUUGCUAUGUAAAUAGUGACCCCAAAACAUGGCUUAGACAGCAGAUCUUUAUCUUUAACAAUUUCUAUCCUAGAGAGUCUGGGUGUGGUCUUGCUGGGUGCCUGUGACUCAAAACCUCUGUGAGGUCACAGACAAGGUGUCACCUGGGGCUGCAGGCACCUCAGGCUUCACCAGAGCUGCUUCCAGCUCAAACACAAGUUGCUGGCGGGGUCACAUCUUUCCUGGCUGCAGAUCUGGGCUUCUCCAUCCAUAAGGCUGCUCACACCUGGGCAGAUGGUCCCUGGUGGCAGGUAUCUGAGGCAGUGAGAGUGUGGAGGGGACCCCAAAGCAAAAGCCACAGCCUUGGAUACCCUAAUCCAGUAGGUGGCCUCGCAGCACUUCUACCAUAUCAUGUCCUUGGAAGUGAGUCACUGGGUCUAGUUUAUACUCAGGUGGGGUGACUGCCAGAGGGCAGGGGUCCUGGAGACAGGACUGUGUGUGCAUCUCAGACGCUGCCCGCCACAGGUGCUGGUGUCCUGAUAAAAUAGCACAUGCAGGAAGAGGGGAUAUAACGUGCGUUAGUGGUCCCAGUGUCCUAGGCGUCUUUCUUCAUCAUGCUGGCUUUACCUGCGCAAGACUUUCGGAAAUUGACCUUCAGAGACAUUGUGGAAAUUGGCUGAGGCCACAGAGCAGGGGUGCGACCCGAGGGCUACGUUCACCAGGCCCUCAUCUCAGGCAGCGCCCCCGUGAUGACACGUGCUGGCCUGAUUAUGGCGAUCCAAUGGGAUAAUGGAGCAGUUCAGAAGCAUAACAAGUUUUAAACCACUGAGGGUAAGAGAUAUCUUUACAAUUCUGAAUUUUACCAGAGAUUCUUACAAAAGAACACAGCCCAUACCUGGCUGUUGAAAUGAGUUAAAUUCAGUGUUUUAACUGUUGUUCUGUGGCUUGGUGUUGGUGACACUUUCUCUGUGGCCUGUUUCUGACCUACAUAGGUGGAUAGGUAGUCAAUCAGUCUUUCUCUCUCUAUUUCUUCUUCUACACACACACACAUACACACACGCGCACACACACACGCGCACACACACACACACACAUGCGCGCGCGUCAUGACUACUCAGAAACCAGAACUAGAGGCAUGUGUCUGUACCCCGACCACCCACAUCCGUUCUGCGUUCACCCCUCUUCUGCUUCCCUCUUUCCCGAGGCUGAUACUAACCACGGAUCCCUUUGGACUCCACACACCUUCCCAGUCUACCCAGUCACUUAUGAGCUCAUAGCCGUAAUUUUUUUUUUAAUUUUUAAUUUUUAAUUUCAUAUUGGAUCUCCCUUUCUUGUCCCUAAAUGACAUCCUGUGAAUGUUCCAUACAUUUUCAGCCAUCACAUUCGAUUGUUCAAAGUCCAAUCCAGUUCAAAAACCAACCUCAAAAGUGGUUUAAAUCUUAUCGCUUUUCCCCAAAGCCGGCUGGGUGCUGUGUCGCAGACCUGAGGUGAGGGAUGGAGUGGGUACAACUUUCACUCCUCCCCUUCAUCUGUUCCACUCUCCCUGCCCUGUUCAACAGUCAGAUUGCAGAUGUAAGCAGUCAUAGUUAAUGUUUUAGGCUUGUAACAUUAAUUAAAAUUAAAUUCCCCAAAUCACAGCCCUGGAAAAAGGCAGUAUUGAGUCAACUUCUGUGUCCUUCUUGAGUGACCGUUUGUCACCUUCCUUAAACCAAAUGUAUUCCCCUCUCAUCCAUAAGCGGAUAGCAAGCAUUCCGCUAGUAUUAUUUCCCUAAAUGCAUACGAUGAAUCCUCUUCCAUGAAAGAAAAAGAAAAAGGAAAACUCCAAGGAGCUAAAGACUUCCAGCAGCACAUUAACUUGCUUCAUACAGAUUUUCAUCCCAGAGAAAGGAUGUUGAAUAUUUGCGGAAGGCAGGCUGAUCCCCAAAUAUGCCUUACGUACAAACCCCUGAAACGUGUGGAUCUAGCGGGAUUAGCCUGGAUGGGCCCAGGGUGAUCACAGGAGACGGACCCCGGGCAGGAGAAGGGUCCCAGGACCACGACCGGCUGGACGCUGGAGGGGCCGCAAGGAAAGUGCGGGAAGAAGCUGAGUUCUGCACCAUCGGAGCUUGGAAGAGGACCCCAGCCUCAGAUGAGAAAGGCAGUGCCCACCCACACCUCAAUUUCAGCCCUGAGAGACCCUGGGCUGGACUUCUGACUGGAAGUAAGGUAUGAAGUUGUAACAUAGAUGCUGUUACAAAUGCGUUCUGCCUGCCCACGGGAACCACAUGCAGCAGAUGUGGAGGAUGUCUGAGGUACUGGAGCAAAAAGGAUGUCUUCAAGUUCAGAGGAAGAUUUUCCCCCUUGUGCAGUCAUUAAAUCUGAUAAAAUUUAAGACUUUUCUUCUGGACCUUGAUUUGGACGGAUGCGAGGAAAAGCGUGUAGGAGACCCCAUCAGAGGCAGUAAUAGAGCAGAGCAGUUAGUGGGUGUCUGUCACCUUGCAGAGGUUGUGGUGACCCAGCUAACGUGGACCACUGCUGACUCCUGGACCAGAGAACUUGCCACGUGAACAACUAUUUAAAUGCCCUAAAAUUGUGAUGCGUCACAGUUGCAGGGAAAGAUGCCAAAAUAUCUUUCCUAUGAAUAUGUAUGAAUGUUACGGUAACUAUGUGCUGUACAAAACUAUGUCACACACCACAUGGCUGUGGCGGAUGCAUUCCUGUUACAAAGCCUUAGUCACUCUGCAUGUCCACGUGAUUUGGCCGUUCCUCCCACACAAAGUGGCAUGUAUCUCCCGGCCCCAUUGAUGUCUGAGUCCGUCUUUGUCCAGGGGACGUUAGCAGACAUGGUAGGAGGGAAGGCUCGGCUCCCACUUGCCCUCAGCCUGGGAAGACCAUGCGUCAUGCAGCCCCCUGCCCCCCUGAAGAUGAAUGAAGCCCUGCCCUGCCCUGGAUCAGCCAACACCCAGCACAUACCUUGCGCAGCAAGAAUAAACUACAGCUUUGGGGACAACUGAGCUUUGGUUUGUUAUGCAGAGUUACUACGACAGUGAAUGAUAAAAUGCUUCCCAGAGUAAUUAAACACAUGUGUUUCUAAACAUGGAAGGAUUCCCAAGUUUUCAGUGCAAAUGCAGAUAACUCUAAUAUAGUUUGUUUUUUUAAAAAUGUUGAUAAAGAUUCUUUCCUUCUAGUAUUUCCAUUGUGACAAUAUUAAACCCACAGGAAGACUUACCGGCAGUAACUAAAACCUCAAAUGUAUGUUUUCCUUUCUAUAUGCCAUUCUGUUUUCCCCUUAGGUGAAGAAGUAAAAACAAUUCUAGGGACAACAUGGGAAGAAAAAUACAGGCACAUGCACAAUUGGGGUUUUCUGACAAGUUCUCCAUUAUAUUGGAAGCAAAAUGCUCUAUUUUAUAGUCUUGUCACACAGCAUAGCUACAAGCAGGCACUCUGGAUUUUUCUACUAAAAUAAACAUUCAAGAAAAAUAACUAGGAAAAGGCACAUUUGAACCACCUAGCAAGGCACCAGAAGGAGGCAACCAUUAGCUAUCAAUAUUGACUAAAAAGAGUCUGUUGGGCAGGCUGGAGAGAGGUUUCGUUUUGUCUGUGAUGUUUGUAAAUCAAACUCUUGCAGGUGUUAUGAACAUAUCUGCAUGUUUUACUAUGUCCAUCUGUUACGAUUUCAUAAGUCAAAUAUUUCUCUUCCAAAGUGUUUCAUCACUUGCAUUUUAUUUCCUCCCAUGAAUCAAAAAUUACAAAUCUAGUCAGAUCAAACAAAUCAAGUUGGCGAAAUAGAAAAUGCAUAGAAUCUUUGAUUGUAAACAAGUCAUGAACAUUUCUGUGAUUCCGUUGUUUAUGCCUCAAAAAAGUAAGAAAUGAGAAUGCCUGAGACCAGAGUUUUAGGUAGAAGUCUGCAUUAAUGGUUGUUGCU